rnacentral:misc_RNA from 1 species
AAAGGGACAAAUUAAACUUUGGCCCAAAAAAUUUUAAUUUUAAAACAAAAUAAAGCAAGCAAUUGGUUUAAUAACCGCAAAUUCCAAUUAAUGAAGCGACAUUACUAGCUAAGACAUGGAAUUGAUAGAGAACUGUAGCCAAGUGGCUAAGGCAUGAGUCUGCAACACUUCUAUUCGUCAGUUCGAAUCCAACCGGUUCCUACAGCGCCGCGCCAUUCCAACCAUCAUAAUGCAAAUGUAUCAAAGAAAAAUAGGCAUGAAACUCAAUAAUCAAAGUGAAAAUGAAACUAGGUAGCCUAUCCAUUU